rnacentral:rRNA from 1 species
UACGGGGGGGGCAAGCGUUGUUCGGAAUUACUGGGCGUAAAGGGCUCGUAGGUGGCGGGGUAAGUCAGGUGUGAAAUCUCGAGGCUCAACCUCGAAACUGCACUUGAUACUGCCUUGCUCGAGUACUGGAGAGGAGAUUGGAAUUUACGGUGUAGCAGUGAAAUGCGUAGAUAUCGUAAGGAAGACCAGUGGCGAAGGCGAAUCUCUGGACAGUUACUGACACUGAGGCACGAAGGCCAGGGGAGCAAACGGG